UUGGCCGACCAGAUGAUCGCGCCCGGAACUCCCGGGUGAGGAAAGUCCGGGCUUCACAGGGCAGGAUGCCGGCUAACGGCCGGUCGGGGUAACCCGAAGGAAAGUGCAACAGAAAACAAACCGCCGGCCACCCGGCCGGUAAGGCUGAAACGGCGGUGUAAGAGACCACCGCUUCCGUGGUAACACGGAAGGCAAUGUAAACCCCAUCCGAAGCAAAACCUAACAGAAAGCCAUACGGCGGCCCGUCGUGCUUUCGGGUUGGUUGCGUCACACGGGGGAAACCUCGCGUGGGAGCUGAGCGGUAACGUUCAGUCAAGAAAGAUGAUCAUCAAGUACAGAACCCGGCUUAUUGGUCGACCAUAAUU
rnacentral:RNase_P_RNA from 1 species